AGUGAACGCUGGCGGUAGGCCUAACACAUGCAAGUCGAACGGCAGCACAGUAAGAGCUUGCUCUUACGGGUGGCGAGUGGCGGACGGGUGAGGAAUACAUCGGAAUCUACUUUUUCGUGGGGGAUAACGUAGGGAAACUUACGCUAAUACCGCAUACGACCUACGGGUGAAAGCAGGGGAUCUUCGGACCUUGCGCGAUUGAAUGAGCCGAUGUCGGAUUAGCUAGUUGGCGGGGUAAAGGCCCACCAAGGCGACGAUCCGUAGCUGGUCUGAGAGGAUGGUAGGCCACACUGGAACUGAGACAGGGUCCAGACUCCUACGGGAGGCAGCAGUGGGGAAUAUUGGACAAUGGGGGCAAGCCUGAUCCAGCCAGACCGCGUGGGUGAAGAAGGCCUUCGGGUUGUAAAGCCCUUUUGUUGGGAAAGAAAAGCAGCAGGUUAAUACCCCGCUGUUCUGACGGUACCCAAAGAAUAAGCACCGGCUAACUUCGUG
rnacentral:rRNA from 1 species